UACGUAGGGGGCGAGCGUUGUCCGGAUUCACUGGGUUUAAAGGGUGCGUAGGUGGGUUGGUAAGUCAGUGGUGAAAUCCCCGAGCUUAACUUGGGAACUGCCAUUGAUACUAUCAAUCUUGAAUACCGUGGAGGUCAGCGGAAUAUGUCAUGUAGCGGUGAAAUGCUUAGAUAUGACAUAGAACACCAAUUGCGAAGGCAGCUGGCUACACGAAUAUUGACACUCAGGCACGAAAGCGUGGGGAUCAAACAGG
rnacentral:rRNA from 1 species